rnacentral:lncRNA from 1 species
GAAGGCCACAUUAAGCGGCUCACUCUCCGGCAAAUCCGUCUUGUAGAUACCAUACGCCAAAGCAGUCGCCGUGGUCUCGUGGAUCAAAUGCAAAGGGUGCAAGCCAGCGAUCGUUGCAGCAUCAAGAACAGCUCUCCGCUGCAGGUCAGUGAAGUAAACAGGAAUACCAAUGCAGCAGUCCACCACAGCUGCGUUCAGAUUCUUCUCAGCAAUACCUUUCAAGUUAGACAACAUCAUCCCCAUAACCUGAGUGGGAGUAAACGCUCUCUUCUCUCCCAAGUAAGAAGCGUGGAUCAAAGGGUACCCGUCUGGUCCCUCCGUGACGGGCCUUGGCCGGCGGUGCUUCCGGUUUGGCAACCGGCUUUGGUUUGGUCAUUAUAGGCCUGCAGAACCUGCCAAAACAAAAUCCAAAAAGAUGGUUCAGUCACUUUCCUACUAACAAGAGAAACAACAAAGUAAGAAGAAGCUAUUGCUUUACUUGUCCAAUGCCUCAGCCUUCCUUGUAACAUCAGCUGACAAGAAAGCUGGUGUUGCGUACUUGGGAAGCGCCUCCUGCUGCUGCUGCUUCUCCCUCAUCCAUGCUUCUGCUUCCACACACUCGUUCAAUACCUUCAUUUGCAUUCCACAACAAUAGAUGAUUAAAACACACACAUCUCCACAUUCUUAUGCAAAAAAAAUAAUCAUGAAAUAUCUCAGAGCUCUUGUAGUUAUUAUACCUUUUGCUUAUCUUCUAGUUCAAUGUGGUCAAACUUGGAAUCAUUAGAGACCGCUGCCUCUCUGUAGCUGUUAACACAGUGACCAAGCUGACCAAUGACUGUCCCUCUCUCCUGUGACUCCUUGUAACGCAUCUCAACUGGGUCACCCACCUAACAAUCAAAGUCCAAUCACCAAGCUCUGUUAAAAUCAUUUUUCUAUUCAAGUAAAAUAGCCAAUCUAUCAUAUGUGUAUAUUACCUUCUUGAGCUCCUCGAGCUUUGCAACAUAGACACCUUUAGUCUCAUCUUCUCCAUCUUCAUACAACCAAUCCUCCACUUCCUGCAGCUUCGCCAGGAACGCUUCUCUCUCUGACUCGAUAAUGUACUCAUGGUAUUUGUCACUCAGCUGAAAAUACAAAAACACAGCAAGUAGCCACCCCUUAUAAAUACAUACUCUCGAUGCAUAUUAAAAAAAGAGAGAAGAAAAGGGUUUACUUACUUUGUUUCUCAUAUCAUAAACAUAGGACUCAACAGCAUUCUUCUUGUCCUUGGUCUCCUCCAUAACUCUGUCUUGGAGAGCCAUCUCAUAUUCUUUCUCCACAGCCUUUUGGACCUCCACAGAUUGCAAGGCGCCGUAUACCAAUUCUGACAGAGGUACGUUUGUUUUCUUCACCUUCUUCUUUGGAGCCUCAGCCUGCACAUACACCAUACCCAUUUGAUUAAAUUUCAAGUUCACGAGUGAAAGAAAAUAGCAAGGACCAUCAGCUCAGUAGAGAAAACUAACCUUUGAAUCAGUUUCCAUUUGCACCGGCUCAGGAACACCGUUGUCAGUACCAGCUGCAUCACUGGUUUCCUUGGCGUCUUGCAUGUUAACAUCAGAUUCACCAGAGGCUUUGUCAGUGUCCAUCUGCUCUGUUGUGACCUUAACUUCAACUUCUUCCUCUUCCAAAAGCUGCAACGAAGGAGAGGAAAAAAAAAUUAGCAUAAACUAAACGAUCUCAAGUUCGCAUUGAAUGAAUGAUCAGUUGGAUGAUAACAACACAAACUUACAGUUGCUGAUUCAACAGAGACAAUUCCGUGAAGGGUCAAUCUCACUUUCACCUUAAGCUUUGCCCUCUCGCCUUUUGAUGACUGGAAGGGACCAAUCUGCAAAAAAGGAGAACAACAAUGAGAAACAAGAGCACGCUACAGUCUUUAAUGAUACACACGACAUUGGGCAAAGGAUCAAACCGUGUAAGUACUGAUUUUUGGAGGUGCUUGCAAGUCAGUGGCAUCACUGUACUGCACAUCGACAGAGAAUGUUCCAGAGCGGUAAAACGUCAGAGCCUUGACACUAGGAAUUGAGUUUCCCUUGGGGAAAACAAUGGUGCUCUGCUGAUUCUCAGCUCCUCCAUUUUGAGCAUCAGCCGCUGCUCCUUUCCACGCCAGCGAAAUGGAGAAGGGGAAACUCUCAUGAACCUUUAUCACAAUUAAUAACAUGACUUGUUAGUACUAUACUAGGCGAUAAACACACAUGUUUAAGCAGAGAUAAGCAUCCAUUACCUGGAACUCACGGACUUUGAAGGUGGGACUAAGAAUGGCACACUGCAAGGCACAUCCUCUCGACACACACUCACUAGCAUUCAUUGUACGCCUCGGCUCCUUACCGAAAAACUCAGUCAGGAUCUUGAUAAUAGCAGGGACACGAGAGCCAGAGCCAACAACCUCAACCAUAUGUACAUCUUCAAUUGCGAGCCCCGCGUCAGAGAGAGCUUUCUCCAGAGGCCUCUUGACACGCUCCAAGAUAGGGACGCUGAUCUCUUCAAACUCUUCCCUCUUGAUAACACCCCUAACAUCUUUCUCAUCCAUCAAACACUCAAUAUUCAACGGCGCCACAGGGUUAGCGCUCAGAACCUUCUUCAGCUUCUCACACGCAGCCCUGAGCCUAAGACUAGCCUUGGCAUUCUGCGAGACGUCAAUCUUGUACUCCUCCCUGAACUUGGCGGCAAAAUGAUUAAACAGAACUUCAUCAAAGUCCCUUCCUCCAAGAGACCGGUCAAACCCGUGAGACAAGACCUUGAGCUGCCCUUUCUUAAACCCUGCGAUGCAGACUUGCAUGCUCGCAUGACCAAUGUCGAUGAAGGCCACAUUAAGCGGCUCACUCUCCGGCAAAUCCGUCUUGUAGAUACCAUACGCCAAAGCAGUCGCCGUGGUCUCGUGGAUCAAAUGCAAAGGGUGCAAGCCAGCGAUCGUUGCAGCAUCAAGAACAGCUCUCCGCUGCAGGUCAGUGAAGUAAACAGGAAUACCAAUGCAGCAGUCCACCACAGCUGCGUUCAGAUUCUUCUCAGCAAUACCUUUCAAGUUAGACAACAUCAUCCCCAUAACCUGAGUGGGAGUAAACGCUCUCUUCUCUCCCAAGUAAGAAGCGUGGAU